rnacentral:rRNA from 1 species
CACGUAGGCACCAAGCGUUGUCCGGAUUUAUUGGGCGUAAAGAGCUCGUAGGCGGUCUGUCGCGUCUGCUGUGAAAACUCAGGGCUUAACCCUGAGCUUGCAGUGGGUACGGGCAGACUAGAGUGCGGUAGGGGAGACUGGAAUUCCUGGUGUAGCGGUGAAAUGCGCAGAUAUCAGGAGGAACACCGGUGGCGAAGGCGGGUCUCUGGGCCGUAACUGACGCUGAGGAGUGAAAGCAUGGGGAGCGAACAGG